rnacentral:misc_RNA from 1 species
AAACUAUAAAUAGAAUUGGGAUUUUAUUGUUGUCGUUGAUCUUUGGUCUCCAACAUAACGAUGCAAGUUUUAAUACUCAAUAAGUGUACCCAGGCAACUGAUCGAAGCCGUUUUGUAAUACAGUAUAUAGAAAACAUGGCCUAUCUCAGAAACUGGAGACGGUACAAUACAUUUGUUCAUGCGCUUGCACAAUCAAGCAGCAGUGAAAAUGAUGUUGAAAAUCAACUGCAGGCAGUUGGGGGCCAGCAGACAACUCCUGAAAGAAAUUCUUGCUUCAAAAGAUUGGAGGUACAGAUGGUACUGACCACAUGAAGAAAGCAAUGUUAAGAACUAUGACAAACUCGUACAUGGCUGGUCUAAACAUGAAGGGAAAACGGGGAAAGAAAGCUUUUGGUUCCUCCCAACUCUACCUCCUUAUAAAAGAAACUGUAUUGACAUCUCAUACACAGUAUACAGAAUCAAAAUUCAAUGAAGAUUUCGCUAAAUUCCUAAAAUAUGCCCCGGAGCGUGUGGGAGGAGGUGGAAGAAGGAGAAGAGAUUGACUGUUUUUCACGUUCACUUGACCAGAACUAAUGAUUUUACUCUUUUUCAUCUUCUUAAACUAAUGUUUUUGUGAAAAGCUGGCUACAGAUGUGAGCUAGGUUAUCCAUCAGUGAUUUUAAGUGAUACUUUCAAUUUAUUUAACUGUUUCUCUCUUGAAUAAAUUGAUUAAUGAUAUUUGU